rnacentral:tRNA from 1 species
AGCUAUUUAACUAAAUAAAGAUAAUAUCUUGAAAAUAUUACAUAGAACAUAAAUAUUCUAAUAGCUU